UGAAAGAAAAGAUGAAAAACUGACCUCGAUAAUGCACUUUUGCAGAAUUGAAGUCCUAACGUGAAAUUGGCCGUGUACAAACCAAAUUGAGGGUAAAACAAACGCGUUGGCGAAGUAGGUUCGGCAAUCUGUCGAGCCUACGCGAAGAUAUCGCCAAAAGAACAUUUUCGGCUACAAUUGUCGGGAGCGCUGGUCGCGGUUCUCGGGAAAGUGCGAGAAGCAGAUUUCUCGCAUUCCAGUAUCAAGUAAAGGUUCGCACGUGAGCGGCGCGGCGGCGCGAGGACAGGGUGUAGCUCCGUAGAUAGCGUCCUACCACCGAGACCAGAGAUAGCGGUACCCUGAAGCAGUCUAGCUCAGAGUUCAGAAUAAAAGAAACAAACUUGUAUCAAAUUUGUAUAAAUUGUAAUAACUUAAAGGCUUAUGUAAUUUUGUAAAUGUAAAAUUUUGAGAUGAAUGCUUGUAAUA